CGCGUAGGCGGACUUUUAAGUCGGUGGUGAAAUCUCAGGGCUCAACCCUGAAACUGCCGUCGAAACUGGGAGUCUUGAGGUAUGGAGAGGGAAGUGGAAUUCCUGGUGUAGCGGUGAAAUGCGUAGAUAUCAGGAGGAACACCCGUGGCGAAGGCGGCUUCCUGGCCAUAAUCUGACGCUGAGGUGCGAAAGCUAGGGGAGCGAACGG
rnacentral:rRNA from 1 species